UCCCAGAUGGCUCAGUGGUAAAGAAUCUGCCUGCAGUGCAGGAGACCCAAGUUCAGUCCCUGGGUUGGGAA
rnacentral:tRNA from 1 species